CGAACGGGUGAGUAACACGUGAGCAACCUGCCCUAUACAACGGGAUAACACAGAGAAAUUUGUGCUAAUACGGUAUAAGACCACAGUAUCGCAUGAUACAGGGGUAAAAGAUUUAUCGGUAUAGGAUGGGCUCGCGACCCAUUAGCUAGUUGGUGAGGUAACGGCCCCCCAAGGCAACGAUGGGUAGCCGACCUGAGAGGGUGAUCGGCCACACUGGGACUGAGACACGGCCCAGACUCCUACGGGAGGCAGCAG
rnacentral:rRNA from 1 species